UAAACUGGUUCAGUGAGCGCUAAGCUUA
rnacentral:piRNA from 1 species